GCGCACGCUGGCGGCAGGCCUCACACCUGCCAGUCGAACGAACUCUUCGGAGUUAGUGGCGGACGGGUGAGUAACACGUGGGAACGUGCCUUUUGGUUCGGAAUAACUCAGGGAAACUUGUGCUAAUACCGAAUGUGCCCUUCGGGGGAAAGAUUUAUCGCCAUUAGAGCGGCCCGCGUCUGAUUAGCUAGUUGGUGAGGUAACGGCUCACCAAGGCGACGAUCAGUAGCUGGUCUGAGAGGAUGACCAGCCACACUGGGACUGAGACACGGCCCAGACUCCUACGGGAGGCAGCAGUGGGGAAUCUUGCGCAAUGGGCGAAAGCCUGACGCAGCCAUGCCGCGUGAAUGAUGAAGGUCUUAGGAUUGUAAAAUUCUUUCACCGGGGACGAUAAUGACGGUACCCGGAGAAGAAGCCCCGGCUAACUUCGUG
rnacentral:rRNA from 1 species